rnacentral:rRNA from 1 species
UACAGAGGUCUCAAGCGUUGUUCGGAAUCACUGGGCGUAAAGGGUGUGUAGGCGGCGUGGAAAGUCAGGUGUGAAAUCUCGGGGCUCAACUCCGAAACUGCACUUGAUACUGUGGUGCUCGAGUACUGGAGAGGAGAUUGGAAUUUACGGUGUAGCAGUGAAAUGCGUAGAUAUCGUAAGGAAGACCAGUGGCGAAGGCGAAUCUCUGGACAGUUACUGACACUGAGGCACGAAGGCCAGGGGAGCAAACGGG